CUGUGACUCUUCCAGUGCAUCUGUUUCAACCUGCCGAUGACACCGCGACACGAGCUCAACGAGGAACGUGCUGUUUAAAUCCUGCCAAUUGUGAGCCUCAUCCAGCGGACAGCACUCGUGAAUUUUAUGCUGUUUGGACAUUUGGCACACCAGGCAAAUGGGCUCCUCGUCGUUCUGACAAUAGACGCUGAGCUUCUCCUCGUGAAACCUGCAACGGUCUUGACUCAUCUUCUCCAUGUGAACUGCUGCAGGCAAACUUUGCAAACGUUAUGUCCACAAUGGAGGAGAACGGGGAAGCAGUAGAUGUCCGUACACCGAGGACAGAUGAGGUCUUCUCUGGAGAUGACGCUGUGCGUUGCCAUUACCUUGAAGAGGGACAGUCAUGUGAGUCAAGUAGGACCUGCGAUUGGUUGGCAACUGGUUCAGGGUGUCCC